rnacentral:tRNA from 1 species
UGCCGGCGUGGCGGAAUUGGCAGACGCGCUGGACUCAAAAUCCAGUGUCCGUUGAGGACGUGCCGGUUCGACCCCGGCCGCCGGUAUUAC